UGCUCAACUCACGUGUUGUCA
rnacentral:piRNA from 1 species